GUUGGGUAGGGGAGCGUUCUGUAAGCCUGCGAAGGUGUACUGUGAGGUAUGCUGGAGGUAUCAGAAGUGCGAAUGCUGACAUAAGUAACGAUAAUGCGGGUGAAAAACCCGCACGCCGGAAGACCAAGGGUUCCUGUCCAACGUUAAUCGGGGCAGGGUGAGUCGACCCCUAAGGCGAGGCUGAAAAGCGUAGUCGAUGGGAAACGGGUUAAUAUUCCCGUACUGGUGGUAACUGCGAUGGGGGAACGGAGAAGGCUAGGUUGUCCGGGCGACGGUCGUCCCGGUUCAAGCAGGUAGGCAGAGUGAUUAGGCAAAUCCGGUCACUUAAUGCUGAGAUGUGAUGACGAACCACUAAGGUGGUGAAGCAAUUGAUGCCCCGCUUCCAGGAAAAGCCUCUAAGCUUCAGGUUACCAACAAUCGUACCCCAAACCGACACAGGUGGUCAGGUAGAGAAUACUCAGGCGCUUGAGAGAACUCGGGUGAAGGAACUAGGCAAAAUGGUGCCGUAACUUCGGGAGAAGGCACGCUGGCGGUAGGUAAAGUCCCUUGCGGACGGCGCUGAAGCCAGUCGAAGAUACCAGCUGGCUGCAACUGUUUAUUAAAAACACAGCACUGUGCAAACACGAAAGUGGACGUAUACGGUGUGACGCCUGCCCGGUGCUGGAAGGUUAAUUGAUGGGGUCAGCCGUAAGGCGAAGCUCCUGAUCGAAGCCCCAGUAAACGGCGGCCGUAACUAUAACGGUCCUAAGGUAGCGAAAUUCCUUGUCGGGUAAGUUCCGACCUGCACGAAUGGCGUAAUGAUGGCCAGGCUGUCUCCACCCGAGACUCAGUGAAAUUGAACUCGCUGUGAAGAUGCAGUGUACCCGCGGCAAGACGGAAAGACCCCGUGAACCUUUACUAUAGCUUGACACUGAACAUUGAGCCUUGAUGUGUAGGAUAGGUGGGAGGCUUUGAAGUGUGGACGCCAGUCUGCAUGGAGCCAACCUUGAAAUACCACCCUUUAACGUUUGAUGUUCUAACCUAGGCCCAUAAACUGGGUCGGGGACCGUGUCUGGUGGGUAGUUUGACUGGGGCGGUCUCCUCCUAAAGAGUAACGGAGGAGCACGAAGGUUGGCUAAGCAUGGUCGGACAUCAUGCGGUUAGUGCAAAGGCAUAAGCCAGCUUGACUGCGAGAGUGACGGCUCGAGCAGGUACGAAAGUAGGUCUUAGUGAUCCGGUGGUUCUGAAUGGAAGGGCCAUCGCUCAACGGAUAAAAGGUACUCCGGGGAUAACAGGCUGAUACCGCCCAAGAGUUCAUAUCGACGGCGGUGUUUGGCACCUCGAUGUCGGCUCAUCACAUCCUGGGGCUGAAGUAGGUCCCAAGGGUAUGGCUGUUCGCCAUUUAAAGUGGUACGCGAGCUGGGUUUAGAACGUCGUGAGACAGUUCGGUCCCUAUCUGCCGUGGGCGUUGGAAGAUUGAGAGGGGUUGCUCCUAGUACGAGAGGACCGGAGUGAACGCACCACUGGUGUUCGGGUUGUCAUGCCAAUGGCAUUGCCCGGUAGCUAAGUGCGGAAGAGAUAACCGCUGAAAGCAUCUAAGCGGGAAACUUGCCUCGAGAUGAGUCUUCCCUGUCGCUUUAAGCGACCUAAAGGAACGUUUAAGACUAAGACGUUGAUAGGCUGGGUGUGUAAGCGUAGCGAUACGUUGAGCUAACCAGUACUAAUGAACCGUGAGGCUUAACCUG
rnacentral:rRNA from 1 species